GAUGAACGCUAGCGGCGGGCUUAAUACAUGCAAGUCGAGGGGCAGCGCAGUGUAGCAAUACAUCGCUGGCGACCGGCAAACGGGUGCGGAACACGUACGCAAUCUACCCAAAACUGAGGAAUAGCCCUCCGAAAGGAGGAUUAAUACCUCGUAACAUCUUAGAGUGGCAUCACUCCUGGAUUAUAGCUCCGGCGGUUUUG
rnacentral:rRNA from 1 species